UACGUAGGGGGCAAGCGUUGUCCGGAUUUAUUGGGCGUAAAGAGCGUGUAGGCGGCCUGAAAGGUCAGCUGUGAAAACUCGAGGCUCAACCUCGAGACGUCGGUUGAAACCAUUUGGCUAGAGUCCGGAAGAGGAGUGUGGAAUUCCCGGUGUAGCGGUGAAAUGCGCAGAUAUCGGGAAGAACACCCGUGGCGAAGGCGGCUCUCUGGGACGGUACUGACGCUGAGACGCGAAAGCGUGGGGAGCGAACAGG
rnacentral:rRNA from 1 species